AGUCCCAUGUUAGUACCUUACAUUCUCAUUACAAUGAAUGGACGGCUAUGCUAGUGGGAUAGAAAAACACUGUCAUGGUCUGAAGGUGUGGCUAGCAGACUGUGCGCCCCACUAAAUAAAAUGACAGAAUAUGUUAAU